rnacentral:sRNA from 1 species
AGAUAGUACUGUUUUAAAAUCUGUAUUUAAAAUUCAAAACACAUUUCUUAGUCUUUUCUUUAACUACCUUCUCCUUUCUUCUGACCUAUCUUACUUUCUUCUGAGAUAAUGAUAUUGUUUAAUUUUAGCUGUUGGAGCCACUGCUGUGUAUCCUAUCGAUCUUGUAAAAACUCGAAUGCAGAACCAACGAUCAACUGGCUCUUUUGUGGGAGAACUCAUGUAUAAAAACAGCUUUGACUGUUUUAAGAAAGUGCUACGCUAUGAAGGUUUCUUUGGACUGUAUAGAGGUCUGUUGCCACAGUUAUUGGGAGUUGCCCCAGAGAAGGCCAUAAAACUUACAGUGAACGAUUUUGUGAGGGAUAAAUUUAUGCACAAAGAUGGUUCGGUCCCACUUGCAGCAGAAAUUCUUGCUGGAGGCUGCG